rnacentral:rRNA from 1 species
CGCAUCUGUGCAUGCAGCAUAUCAAUAAGCGGAGGAAAAGAAACUAACAAGGAUUCCCCUAGUAACGGCGAGUGAAGCGGGAAGAGCUCAAAUUUGAAAUCUUAAAGGGUUUCCCUUUACGAAUUGUAGUUUAAAGAAGUGUUUUCUGUUGAGGUUUUGGUAAAAGUUCUUUGGAAUAGGACAUCAUAGAGGGUGAGAAUCCCGUAUUUGACCUUUACUUUCAACUUUGUGAUACACUUUCAAAGAGUCGGAUUGUUUGGGAAUGCAGUCCAAAAUGGGUGGUAAAUUUCAUCUAAAGCUAAAUAUUGGCGAGAGACCGAUAGCGAACAAGUACCGUGAGGGAAAGAUGAAAAGAACUUUGAAAAGAGAGUUAAACAGUACGUGAAAUUGUCAAAAGGGAAGCGUUUGACACCAGUGUUGUUUUUCUGAAAAUCAAUUAAAGAACUGUUUAUGCUAAGCUGUUUAGACUUUAUCAGCUAUCUGUUUAGUUUUGAGCUUUUCUUUAAUGCACUUUUCAGUUAACAAGUCAACAUCAAUUUCUUUUGCUGUAAAAAAGCUUGAGGAAGGUGGCUUGAGAUUCGUCUUAAGUGUUUAUAGCCUCUUGCCUAUGCAGUCGGAGAGAUUGAGGUCUGCAGGCGUAGAUCCUUCGGGGCUAAAUGCAUUUGUGCUAAGUUAUAGCAUUUUAUAGACAACUUGUUGACUAUGAUUUGUCUUGUAGCUUACUCGCUUAUGUUAUUUUACCUACGCUUAGGAUGUUGAAUCUGUGCGAGACUAC